AGCGAACAGACGAGGAGCUUGCUCCUCUGACGUUAGCGGCGGACGGGUGAGUAACACGUGGAUAACCUACCUAUAAGACUGGGAUAACUUCGGGAAACCGGAGCUAAUACCGGAUAACAUGUUGAACCGCAUGGUUCAACAGUGAAAGACGGUCUUGCUGUCACUUAUAGAUGGAUCCGCGCCGCAUUAGCUAGUUGGUAAGGUAACGGCUUACCAAGGCAACGAUGCGUAGCCGACCUGAGAGGGUGAUCGGCCACACUGGAACUGAGACACGGUCCAGACUCCUACGGGAGGCAGCAGUAGGGAAUCUUCCGCAAUGGGCGAAAGCCUGACGGAGCAACGCCGCGUGAGUGAAGAAGGUCUUCGGAUCGUAAAACUCUGUUAUUAGGGAAGAACAAAUGUGUAAGUAACUAUGCACGUCUUGACGGUACCUAAUCAGAAAGCCACGGCUAACUACGUGCCAGCAGCCGCGGUAAUACGUAGGUGGCAAGCGUUAUCCGGAAUUAUUGGGCGUAAAGCGCGCGUAGGCGGUUUUUUAAGUCUGAUGUGAAAGCCCACGGCUCAACCGUGGAGGGUCAUUGGAAACUGGAAAACUUGAGU
rnacentral:rRNA from 1 species